CAUGUGUGGCAAAGAGUAGCCCACCCCCAAGUGUGGCAAAGAGUAGCCCCCCCCAAGUGUGGCAAAGAGUAGCCCACCCCCAAGUGUGGCAAAGAGUAGCCCCCCCCAAGUGUGGCAAAGAGUGGUCCAAGACCAUUCAAGUAUAUAUAGCGGUUCACAAUCCUAAACAUACUGUUGGUAUUUAGUUGACCCUAAGAGAAAUCCAUGUAUGGUAAAAACAAAGGACAACAUGUUUCAAAAGCCUUAGAUGAACAUGUGGAAGGUCCCAAGAAGGAAAUAUCAUGGCA